UACGUAGGGCGCAAGCGUUAUCCGGAAUUAUUGGGCGUAAAGAGCUCGUAGGCGGUUUGUCGCGUCUGCCGUGAAAGUCCGGGGCUCAACUCCGGAUCUGCGGUGGGUACGGGCAGACUAGAGUGAUGUAGGGGAGACUGGAAUUCCUGGUGUAGCGGUGAAAUGCGCAGAUAUCAGGAGGAACACCGGUGGCGAAGGCGGAUCUCUGGGCCAUUACUGACGCUGAGGAGCGAAAGCGUGGGGAGCAAACAGG
rnacentral:rRNA from 1 species